rnacentral:rRNA from 1 species
GACGAACGCUGGCGGCGUGCUUAACACAUGCAAGUCGAACGGAAAGGCCCUGCUUUUGUGGGGUGCUCGAGUGGCGAACGGGUGAGUAACACGUGAGUAACCUGCCCUUGACUUUGGGAUAACUUCAGGAAACUGGGGCUAAUACCGGAUAGGAGCUCCUGCUGCAUGGUGGGGGUUGGAAAGUUUCGGCGGUUGGGGAUGGACUCGCGGCUUAUCAGCUUGUUGGUGGGGUAGUGGCUUACCAAGGCUUUGACGGGUAGCCGGCCUGAGAGGGUGACCGGCCACAUUGGGACUGAGAUACGGCCCAGACUCCUACGGGAGGCAGCAGGGGGGAAUAUUGCACAAUGGGCGGAAGACUGAUGCAGCAACGCCGCGUGCGGGAUGACGGCCUUCGGGUUGUAAACCGCUUUCGCCUGUGACGAAGCGUGAGUGACGGUAAUGGGUAAAGAAGCACCGGCUAACUACGUG